CAGUACGCAGUCGCCCCUUUCGCAGCUAGCUCUAUAUUGUCGUUGAUAAGCUAUUGUCAACUUCAUCAGCAAGCCGCAAUAGUUAUUAUUUUUUAUUAUUUGAGGAAUUUUAGAGCUAACACGAUUAUUAAAAUAAUCAAGCAAUCUAUAUCGUACGUCACACAAGAAGGUGUUUUGUUAAAGGUGAAAGAAGAAGACAAAAUUAAGAACAAGGCAAGAGCAGUGCGAACAAGACAUUUUCUACCUUUGUACUAUAAAGCUGCCUAUUUACUCAAGAUUCUGCUCCCCGUGUCCGCAAACCGUUGACACCGUUCGGCACCAUCAACAUUUUUAAAACUGGUCAUAGCUGCCAUUGAAUUGCCAUCGGCUUUCCCAGUAAUUGGUGAUGACCGAAGAUAGACAGAAGAUAACGCGUCGAGCGAGUUGGAUGGUAUCGGCAAUAAUCGGCAUAGGUACGUAACAAAAUCGUACUGAUACAAAUAAACGAAAGUUAAUGAAUAAUCGACGAAGAAUCCGAAUACUUUAUUAGUGUAAUUAUGACUAAUAUAUUGAUUGAUGAAUA